rnacentral:rRNA from 1 species
CACAGUGUAGCAAUACAUGGGUGGUGACCGGCAAACGGGUGCGGAACACGUACGCAACCUUCCUUCAGGCGGGGAAUAGCCCAGAGAAAUUUGGAUUAAUACCCCAUAAUAUUUUGAGAUGGCAUCAUCUUAUUAUUAAAGCUACGGCACCUGGAGAUGGGCGUGCGGCUGAUUAGGUAGUUGGCGGGGUAAUGGCCCACCAAGCCUACGAUCAGUAGCUGAUGUGAGAGCAUGAUCAGCCACACGGGCACUGAGACACGGGCCCGACUCCUACGGGAGGCAGCAGUAAGGAAUAUUGGUCAAUGGACGCAAGUCUGAACCAGCCAUGCCGCGUGGAGGAUGAAGGUCCUCUGGAUUGUAAACUUCUUUUAUCUGGGACGAAAAAAGGGUUUUCUAACUCGUCUGACGGUACCAGAUGAAUAAGCACCGGCUAACUCCGUGCCAGCAGCCGCGGUAAUACGGAGGGUGCAAGCGUUAUCCGGAUUCACUGGGUUUAAAGGGUGCGUAGGCGGGCAUUUAAGUCAGUGGUGAAAUACCUGAGCUUAACUUGGGAACUGCCAUUGAUACUAUUUGUCUUGAAUGUCGUGGAGGUUAGCGGAAUAUGUCAUGUAGCGGUGAAAUGCUUAGAUAUGACAUAGAACACCUAUUGCGAAGGCAGCUAACUACGCGAAUAUUGACGCUGAGGCACGAAAGCGUGGGGAUCAAACAGGAUUAGAUACCCUGGUAGUCCACGCCCUAAACGAUGAUUACUCGACAUUAGCGAUACACUGUUAGUGUUGAGCGA